rnacentral:lncRNA from 1 species
CUUCUAGGUGCCAGAUGUGGUGCUGGCUCCUGGGGACAUGGGAGUAAACAGGCCAGGCGUGGCCCUGAACCAUCAAAUAGACAACCACAGAAAUAACAACGAAUGAUGCUGGAGGCUGACGAAGAUAAGGGUGGAAAGUGGGCAAUAAAUCAGGAGCUGUUGCAACAUUCCCAGCAAAGGAUAAUGAACAAAGACAAAACCGGGCCCUUCCACACAGUAGCUGGAACACAAAGGAAGAUCAGCCAAGCCUCAACAUAAUCUCAUAAAAAUUCUUCAAAUAUCCCAUUGUUAUGGAUUCAUACAUCAGGAAAGCAGAUGCCAAGAACCUGAACACCUUCUACUGGUAACAUAUAUUUUGGCAAGCCAGCCUGGAGACAAGACCACUAUGGGCAACUUCCUGUCUAUUCUACCUGGUGUCACUGUGGACAACUUCCUAUCUAUUCCACUCGAUUCACCGCUUGGCUACAUCCUCCACCAUUGGGAUGAAUUUGACCCUAACAAUCUAAAGAAAAGGCAUAUGAUUUUUUACUGC